rnacentral:rRNA from 1 species
UACGGAGGAUGCGAGCGUUAUCCGGAUUUAUUGGGUUUAAAGGGUGCGUAGGCGGGCUUUUAAGUCAGCGGUAAAAAUUCGGGCUCAACCCCGUCCGGCCGUUGAAACUGGGGGCCUUGAGUGGGCGAGAAGAAGGCGGAAUGCGUGGUGUAGCGGUGAAAUGCAUAGAUAUCACGCAGAACCCCGAUUGCGAAGGCAGCCUUCCGGCGCCCUACUGACGCUGAGGCACGAAAGUGCGGGGAUCGAACAGG